UGAGUUUUGAGAUCGCUCCGCCGUGAGUAGCUCCGCUCUGAGCCGGAUACAUAACAGGCUCCAGAAUGCCGUGCUUCGAUCUAGCGGAGGAAUCAACGGGUUUUCGGCUGGAAUCAGUCGUCCGACUCGGAGUCUGAUGGCGAAGUUCGCUCCGCCAACAAUGUUCUCGCGUCGGGACUCGUGGGAUGAUAAUUGGUGACAACGCAAAGAAGGAUGGCAGUCACACGGAGGAGUCGAUCACUCUCGGAGUUUUAGAGGUUUUUUCGGUUUGGCUGGAAGAUGUCGUGUACAGGCAUGGAUGGAGGAAGAAGGAAGAAUUAAACAAAACUUUGCCGUUCUUCAAGAGGUAACGAGGAAAGAAAGAAUUAAAGCAGAGAGAAGUUGUGAGACGUCUUUGACCAGGUGUGUUGUCGUAAUGUUCUUGGGGUAACUUCCGACACAAAAAAGGUACUCAAAAAAAAAGUUUUUAAAGGUUCUUGUCUCUAAAGGUACCCAAAAUAAGGUGAGAAAAAAGAGUUUCGAUUGACUUUGGCGAAGAUUGUACAAGGAAAAGUAAUCGAAAGUUAGAUAAAAAUCCAAUCGAUCCAUUCACGGGAUCACUCCCCGGUCAGUGAAAAAAGAACUGCUCUCUUUUUCUCUUUUCUUGUCACUGGAGUGGCAAGUUGCUGUGCCCAGUGGUCUUGGUGUCUGGAUUGGAGACGUCUCUGGUCGAGAUUUCGAGCUCUCCUUCAUCCUCGACCUCGAUUCUUUCGUUCUGCAGCAAUCGAUCCAGCUAAAGAUCAAUCAAACGAGGCAACGAGAGGAGAGAAAAACCAAAAGAGUGUACCUGGGAUUCUUUGAGUGUCGAGAAUAAUGUGAUCGCUGUCGCAGCUGCUAUUCCAAAGACUGGCGCGAGGGCUUUGGCCAUAUCCAUGUCUGCUUGUUUCCGUUCAAGCGGUGACCUUCCCAUCCUUGAUUUUGAGUAUCGAUCGAGAACUUUUAACGGGAAGAAUGGAAAGGACUCUACCUUUCUCGACUGACUGGAAAUGCCCAAAACACGUGCCGAGAUUUAUGAUUCGACUCCACAAAAAUCCCCUUCUUUGCUUGCUAGGAAAGAAAAAAAUGAAAUCCCACCAGCGCGUACAGGGGAAGUGUUCUUCAGUUUAGUCGGGCUUAUAUACAAGGGCGGGCCGACUUG
rnacentral:lncRNA from 1 species